ensembl:lncRNA
GUGAUGUCCAGGCUUUCAGAGAAUGGGACAGGCUGCAUCGGUCAGACGCUCAGCUGUAGUGAAACACGCGGACAAACAGACUCAGAUCCCAGCGGUGAGUGAAGCUGUAGUCAGUGGGGUGUGGGAGGUUCCACAGAUUUUAAUAGUACAACUACACUACAUGAGGAAAGCUGAGAAGAAGAAAAGGGCUGUCCCAUUUCCAGAAACACACCCUGCACCCAACCCGAGGAGGGGGUUGAAGGGAGAAAUGUGCGCAUGGAGAUAAACCAUGAACUCGUGUUGUCACGGUUGGGUUCUUGGGACCGGGUGAAAAGACGCUACAGCUGGAAGACGCUACAGCUGGAAAACACAUACAUCCAUCCAACAAAGGGGUUUGUCCAACAACUGUGGUAUUAAAUGUGACGACCGGGCCAGGAAACAUGAGGUAGAAUUCUCAUGAAACACACCGACUGACCACAGAAUGAAGUCUUCAGAAUACGACUGACCACAGGAUGAGACGGUCUUCACAAUACGACUGACCACAGGAUGAGACAGUCUUCACAAUACAACUGACCACAGGAUGGAGUCUUCAGAAUACGACUGACCACUGGAUGAAGGAGUCUUCACAAUACAACUGACAACAGGACGAAGGAGUCUUCACAAUAUAACUGACAACAGGACGAAGGAGUCUUCACAAUAUAACUGACAACAGGACGAAGGAGUCUUCACAAUACAACUGACAACAGGACGAAGGAAUCUUCACAAUACAACUGACCACAGGAUGGAGUCUUCAGAAUACGACUGACCACUGGAUGAAAGAGUCUUCACAAUACAACUGACAACAGGACGAAGGAGUCUUUAGAAUACGACUGACCACUGGAUGAAAGAGUCUUCACAAUACAACUGACAACAGGACGAAGGAGUCUCCACAAUACAACUGGCCACAGGAUGGAGUCUUCAGAAUACGACUGACCACUGGAUGAAAGAGUCUUCACAAUACAACUGACAACAGGACGAAGGAGUCUUUAGAAUACGACUGACCACUGGAUGAAAGAGUCUUCACAAUACAACUGACAACAGGACGAAGGAGUCUCCACAAUACAACUGACCACAGGAUGGAGUCUUCAGAAUACGACUGACCACUGGAUGAAAGAGUCUUCACAAUACGACUGACCACUGGAUGAAGGAGUCUUUACAAUACGACUGACCACAGGAUGAAGGAGUCAUAAAGA